rnacentral:lncRNA from 1 species
CAAUGUGACAUGGACAUUAACAGUGAUGACAGAUAAAUACAGAUGCUUGGGAAUCAACUAGGCGAAACACAUUCUAAAAGUGUAUUGGGCUUUUAAGAAACAAAUCUGCAGGAUCCUGUUGGUCUUAAUACUGGCUUGAAACUCUGCAAAAGGAAUUUAAAGAGGUUCUAGUAUUCUCCAUGGCUGGCGCUGAGAGUCUGAAACCCUGAUGCUUAAGCUCUAUUCUGUAGAUCAUAGCUCCAACUCCAUCAGGAUAUAAGGAAAAGAGAUAAUAUUUCCACAAUGAUAGAUCUUUGGUUGUACAGGUUUCCCAAUGAGUGGAUCAUGAUGACCGUA